rnacentral:rRNA from 1 species
GGCCAGCAGCCGCGGUAAUACGAAGGAUCCAAGCGUUGUCCGGAUUUACUGGGUUUAAAGGGAGCGUAGGCGGUUUCUUAAGUCAGUGGUGAAAGCCUUCAGCUUAACUGAAGAAUUGCCAUUGAAACUGAGAGACUCGAGUAUGGUUGAGGUCACUGGAAUGUAACAUGUAGCGGUGAAAUGCUUAGAUAUGUUACAGAACACCAAUUGCGAAGGCAGGUGACUAAGCCAUAACUGACGCUGAGGCUCGAAAGCGUGGGGAGCAAACAGGAUUAGAUACCCUGGUAGUCCACGCCCUAAACGUUGAAUACUCGGUCUUGGCGAUAUACAGUCAGGGCCCAAGCGAAAGCGUUAAGUAUUCCACCUGGGAAGUACGUUCGCAAGAAUGAAACUUAAAGGAAUUGGCGGGGGA